UACAGAGACCACAAGCGUUACUCGGAUUCACUGGGCGUAAAGGGUGCGUAGGCGGUUAGGUGUGUCAGGUGUGAAAUCUCAGAGCUCAACUCUGAGGCUGCGCUUGAAACUACCUAGCUAGAGUUUUGGAGAGGUAAGCGGAAUUUCUGGUGUAGCGGUGAAAUGCAUAGAUAUCAGAAGGAACACCAAUGGCGAAGGCAGCUUACUGGACAAAAACUGACGCUGAGGCACGAAAGUGUGGGUAGCAAAAAGG
rnacentral:misc_RNA from 1 species